rnacentral:rRNA from 1 species
UACAGAGGGUGCGAGCGUUGUUCGGAAUUAUUGGGCGUAAAGGGCACGUAGGCGGUGCGGUAAGUCACCUGUGAAAUCUCCUGGCUCAACUGGGAGCUUGCAGGCGAAACUGCCGUGCUGGAGUGUGGGAGGGGUGCGUGGAAUUCCUGGUGUAGCGGUGAAAUGCGUAGAUAUCAGGAGGAACACCUGUGGCGAAAGCGGCGCACUGGACCACAACUGACGCUGAGGCGCGAAAGCUAGGGGAGCAAACAGG